UACGGGAGGGGCGAGCGUUAUUCGGAAUGACUGGGCGUAAAGAGCGUGUAGGUGGUUUGGUGUAUGUCACUGUGAUAAAUUCUGGGGCUCAACUCUUUACAAAUCCGGUGAAACAGCCAAGCUUUUGAGUAUAACAGAAGAUGCCAGAAUGUUUAGUGUAGCAGCAAUAUGCGUAUAUAUUAAAUGGAAUGCCCAUGCGAAGGCAGGUACCUAUGUUAUUACUGACACUGAUAGCGCGAAAGCGUGGGGAUCAAAUCGG
rnacentral:rRNA from 1 species